AGUGAACGCUGGCGGUAGGCCUAACACAUGCCAGUCGAACGGCAGCACAGUAAGAGCUUGCUCUUACGGGUGGCGAGUGGCGGACGGGUGAGGAAUACAUCGGAAUCUACUUUUUCGUGGGGGAUAACGUAGGGAAACUUACGCUAAUACCGCAUACGACCUACGGGUGAAAGCAGGGGAUCUUCGGACCUUGCGCGAUUGAAUGAGCCGAUGUCGGAUUAGCUAGUUGGCGGGGUAAAGGCCCACCAAGGCGACGAUCCGUAGCUGGUCUGAGAGGAUGAUCAGCCACACUGGAACUGGGACACGGUCCAGACUCCUACGGGAGGCAGCAGUGGGGAAUAUUGGACAAUGGGCGCAAGCCUGAUCCAGCCAUACCGCGUGGGUGAAGAAGGCCUUCGGGUUGUAAAGCCCUUUUGUUGGGAAAGAAAAGCAGCAGGUUAAUACCCCGCUGUUCUGACGGUACCCAAAGAAUAGGCACCGGCUAACUUCGUG
rnacentral:rRNA from 1 species